rnacentral:rRNA from 1 species
ACUAGUUUCUUAAUUGGGAGCUUGAAUGAAUGGUUGGACGAGGAAAGUAUUGUCUCAGAGGUUAUAAGUGAAUUUGACUUUUAUGUGAAAAGGCAUUAAUGAAUUGGGGGGACGAUAAGACCCUAUAAAACUUUGAUGAGAUUGGAUUUAAAACUUGAAUAUCGAAUUUAAAGAGGGUUAAAUUUUUAUAUUGUUUCGUUGGGGCGAUGGGGAUAUAAUAAAUAGUUUGUAACUGUCUUUAGAACGGAAUAGAUAUAUCUAGUUAGUGAUCUUUUAUUAAAGAUUAAGAGAAUAAGUUACUUUAGGGAUAACAGCGUAAUUUCUUUUGAGAGUUCAAAUCGACAAAGUAAGUUGCGACCUCGAUGUUGAAUUAAAAUUUCCUUUAGCUGUAGCAGGUUAAAAGGUAGGUCUGUUCGACCUUUAAAAUUUUA